rnacentral:rRNA from 1 species
GUCGAGCGGACCGACGGGAGCUUGCUCCCUUAGGUCAGCGGCGGACGGGUGAGUAACACGUGGGUAACCUGCCUGUAAGACUGGGAUAACUCCGGGAAACCGGGGCUAAUACCGGAUGCUUGAUUGAACCGCAUGGUUCAAUCAUAAAAGGCGGCUUCGGCUGCCGUUUACAGAUGGACCCGCGGCGCAUUAGCUAGUUGGUGAGGUAACGGCUCACCAAGGCGACGAUGCGUAGCCGACCUGAGAGGGUGAUCGGCCACACUGGGACUGAGACACGGCCCAGACUCCUACGGGAGGCAGCAGUAGGGAAUCUUCCGCAAUGGACGAAAGUCUGACGGAGCAACGCCGCGUGAGUGAUGAAGGUUUUCGGAUCGUAAAGCUCUGUUGUUAGGGAAGAACAAGUACCGUUCGAAUAGGGCGGUACCUUGACGGUACCUAACCAGAAAGCCACGGCUAACUACGUGCCAGCAGCCGCGGUAAUACGUACGUGGCAAGCGUUGUCCGGAAUUAUUGGGCGUAAAGCGCGCGCAGGCGGUUUCUUAAGUCUGAUGUGAAAGCCCCCGGCUCAACCGGGGAGGGUCAUUGGACACUGGGGAACUUGAGUGCAGAAGAGGAGAGUGGAAUUCCACGUGUAGCGGUGAAAUGC